rnacentral:rRNA from 1 species
GACGAACGCUGGCGGCGUGCUUAACACAUGCAAGUCGAGCGGUAAGGCCCUUUCGGGGUACACGAGCGGCGAACGGGUGAGUAACACGUGGGUGACCUGCCCUUAGCUCUGGGAUAAGCCUGGGAAACUGGGUCUAAUACCGGAUAUGACUCCAUGACGCAUGUUGUGGGGUGGAAAGCCUUGUGCGGCUAGGGAUGGGCCCGCGGCCUAUCAGCUUGUUGGUGGGGUGAUGGCCUACCAAGGCGACGACGGGUAGCCGGCCUGAGAGGGCGACCGGCCACACUGGGACUGAGACACGGCCCAGACUCCUACGGGAGGCAGCAGUGGGGAAUCUUGCGCAAUGGGCGGAAGCCUGACGCAGCGACGCCGCGUGGGGAUGACGGCU